UGCUAAUACCGCAUAAGACCACAACGUCGAGUGACGAAGGGGUCAAAGGAGUAAUCCGCUUGAAGAUGGGCUCGCGGCUGAUUAGCUAGUUGGAGUGGUAACGGCACACCAAGGCGACGAUCAGUAGCCGAACUGAGAGGUUGAUCGGCCACAUUGGGACUGAGACACGGCCCAGACUCCUACGGGAGGCAGCAGUCGGGAAUAUUGCGCAAUGGGGGCAACCCUGACGCAGCAACGCCGCGUGAAGGAUGAAGGUCUUCGGAUUGUAAACUUCUGUCUUCAGGGACGAAAAAGGACGGUACCUGAGGAGGAAGCCACGGCUAACUACGUG
rnacentral:rRNA from 1 species